rnacentral:lncRNA from 12 species
AUUCCGCCGGGCCUCGCUCCGGAUCAGGGGCCGCGCCGGGCGCCUGGGAGCCGCAUUCCGACACAGGGGUCCCGCGGCGGCGGCUUGGCGCACCUGUUCUUAGCCGGCCCGCAGCCAACCCUCGGCCGGCGCUCCCCGGGAGAGACCAAUCCGAGCGCAGCGCGGAGGGCGAGCGGCCGGGCUCGCCUCCUCUGCCGCCGCCGCCGCCGCCGCCGCCGCCGCCGGGGACCCCAAGUCCGCGAGCCCGGGAGCCGGAGAUUUCCUGGUCUACGGUGGAAGCUGGAAAGAUGUUUUUAUUUACAAGCUCUGAGAAUGAGAAGCUGAGGAUGCCCGCCUCCUGGGACACCUCCCCAGCACCGCAAGACUGGCGCCCAUGCAGGAGCCAGCGUCCCCUUGUACCCUCAGAGCCUCCACGGGGACGAAGUUUUCAAGACUACAGCAAGAUUUCAUCUGGCAAUUCACAUGCUUCUCACCACUCCCCGAUCAGGUUCAGCGUAAGAGAGAAGAUGGAACAUCAUGAAGUCAUUCCCUCUUUUGUCUCCAGACAUGGUGUCAGAAGUGUCAUCCUGGAGAAAGAGAACACCGCACAUCAAAGUUGGUCCAUCACACCGGGCUUUCAAAGAAGCCAUAAACUGAGUUGCAAAGACUUUGGUUAAGCUAAGCCAAAGGUCAAAUAUCAUUUCUGAAAACACUGGAAUCAAAUAUUUGAUAGAUUUAGAAAAAUAUGUGUCCACAAAGCAAUAGGUACAACUGAUACUGUGACCAGUAAAUUUUUUAUUCUUUCAUGUGAUUAAGGAUAUGAGCAGUGGGAAAUGCACUGAACAAAUAGUUAGGAAACUAACUAAAGGCUGGAAUCCUCACUACUCCAAUAAUUUUAUGAUACUCUGGGUCUCAGUUAUAUUGGCCCAUAAAAUGUGGGAAGCACUGCCUAACUCCAGGAUAAUUAUGAUGCUAACAUGGAAAACAAAUGUAAAUAUAUUUUGCGAAUUUUAAAACAUUGUACAUAUAUUAAAAAUUGUUCAAGUUCUAUCAAUGCAUGUGAUUAGUGAAAAGUCACUAUUUUCAAUGGUACCUUUAUACUGGAUGAUACAGAGGAUAUAUGAAUCUCAUCCUUUAAUAAAUUUUCAAACUGAAAUAUGGAAAAAAUGUUU